CUGGUCUCCUCUAACUGAUCUCCUACCUCCUGUCUAGCUCCUCUCCAAGCCAGUCAUUCCUCUGAUGCCAGAAUGAUCUUUUUUUAGGAGGAAAAAAAUUUGAUCCUAAAAUUUAAAAUCUGCUUUGGAAAAGUCUUCAAUACGUAUCGGACGUUAGUGCUCUUCUUGUCCAGGCUUGCCGACUGGUACCUCUUAACCAGAAUCAUCUUGUCAGCAAAGUGUCCCAGCUUAUCCACCAUUUACUUAACAGAUUACAGGGGCUGUCUUGCACACUGUGGAAUGUUUAGCAGCAUCCUUGGCCUCUGCCCACUAGAUGCCAGUAGCAGCUCUCCAAUUGUGGCAGUCAAAAAUGUAUACAGGUAUUGCCAAAUGUUUCUUGGGGGUUAAGGUUGCCCCAGGUUGCCCCACUCUCUUAAACUAAUUAGCGUUUACCCUUAGGUCUCAUGUGGGAGAGGUGGACUUCCAAAUUAAAUUAGUACUCUGCCAGCAGGGAAGGAAGAAAUGGAUGCUGGUAGGUAACCAACCAACUCUGCUGCAUGGAGUAAGGCUGUUUUCAGUUUAGAAUCGUUGAAACUAACAUGGGGUAGCUCCUGUAUGUUUACUAUUCUCAGGUGUAUCGUCUUUGUAACACUGGCAGUUGGAGAUGUUCCUGAACACCUGUGGCACCUAUCACGCUUUACCAGCUUUCCAGCAUUUGGUGACAGUUAGUCUCAAUUGUCCAUGAAUUGACACUUGGAUUAAUCUGGUCCGUCCCAACAAGAUGAUCAGCUCCGUGACAGCAGGGAUAUGUCCUGUCUUCGGAGGGUAUUCCUCAGGUCAUGUUAGAGAUGCAGUAGGUGUUUAGUAGUUAUAUUGGUUCACUGUGUAUUCGUUGAGUAUAUUAUGUAUAAGGCAGUUUAAUUAAAUUUCAGUGCAUUGCAAUACUCAUAUCUGUGUAUUCACAGCUGCCAGUGUCUGAUUAGUUCAAGGAAAAGUUACAAGGACUUUAUCAAGUUCUACUUUACUAAAGAGGAAGAAGUGAGCAAGACCUUAGGGCGGGGAGAAGGCCCCUACGUUGAUCAAACUUUCAGGCCCUUUAGAGGUGAUCCUUUUGACACAUAAACGACAGACAUACACUCUGUCUUUUAUACAGCUUGACUCAGGUGAGCAUACAUGUCCAUAAAAGCAUAAUAUCUUUUAAAAUUUAGAUCAGAAUAUAUCUUUUCCUGUCGUGUUAGGUAAUUGUGGAUGAACAGCACUUGGAUUUCCUGUUGGCGUAUACUAUUUCGACUAUUCAUCAGUGUAGUUCCUGGACACACAUGGAAAUUCUUCAAGCCCUGGCAGCUCUGGUGUACUGCAAUGGCUCAGAAUGUCAAAAGAUAGUUUAAAGUGCUUAAUCCUUCCUUUGAAAGGCCAGGAGCACAGGCUCUGGUGCCAACACUGUUCAGGUUUCUAUCUUGCUACUAAUCUCUAGCAAUUCUUACUUAACCACUCUGGGCCUUGUUUCCUCAUGUAUAAAAUUGUUACUCUGAGGAUGAAGUGAGACAA